rnacentral:rRNA from 1 species
CAGUACGGCGAGUGAAGCGGCAACAGCUCAAUUUGAAAUCUGGCCGUUUACGGUCCGAGUUGUAAUUUGUAGAGGAUGUUUUGGGUACCGCCCCGGUUUAAAUUUCUUGGAACAGAAUGUCAAAGAGGGUGAGAGUCCCGUCUUGGACCGCGGUAGGGCCUGUGUAAAACUCCUUCGACGAGUCGACUUGUUUGGGAAUGCAGGUCAAAAUGGGUGGUAAAUUUCAUCUAAAGCUAAAUAUUGGCCAGAGACCGAUAGCGCACAAGUAGAGUGAUCGAAAGAUGAAAAGCACUUUGAAAAGAGAGUUAAACAGUAUGUGAAAUUGUUGAAAGGGAAGCGCUGGCAACCAGACUCGUGCGCGGGGUUCCCCCUUGCUUCUGCUUGGGUCACUUCCCCGUGUCCGGGCCAUCAUCAGUUUCGGGGGCCGGUUAAAGGCCUUGGGAAUGUAUCCACGCCUUCGGGGGUGGACUUAUAGCCCAGGGUGUCAUGCGGCCACCCGGGACUGAGGAACGCGCUUCGGCGAGGAUGAUGGCGUAAUGGUUGUCAGCGGCCCGUCUUGAAACACGGAC